GUGUCAUUUUUCAGCACAUAUACUGAAACUGUAAUUAUACAGUUAAGAACAGAGUGUCCCCUGGUCAAGGAUGGACUUCAAGUUUGUGAAGCAUUCCAUAUUUUC